CAAAAAAAGUGUCGCUGGUUUCUUUUUAAAUUCUGGAAGAAAUUACACAAACAAAACGUGGCAGAGAAGGAAAUUCCUUCUACGUCUCAUCAGAGUGUAGCAUGCGGUGGAAAAGCAAUAGAAACUCAAACUGAGACUACAGACUGCUUCGGGUGAGUACACGUGGUGCACAAAGACC